UUUUAUGUAAUUUCAAUAUCACUAUCUGUAGCAGAGAACAUUUUACAAUAGGCAACAAAACCAUGUGAACUGGCUUCUCGUUUUCGACCUUUAAAAAUGGUAAAAAGAAUGGUACCGUAAAAACAUAUCGGCGACAUACAUCGUCGGUAAAAAGAAGAUUUGUAUGUUACU